rnacentral:tRNA from 1 species
GGAUUGUGGCUCAGUGGUAGAGUGCUCACUUGGCAUGCACAAGGCACUGAGUUCAAUCCUCAGCACCA